rnacentral:lncRNA from 1 species
AAAAAGGAAUCCUCAAAGCCAAGGACCCUGAUCUGCAGUACAGCUUGUUCCUUAGUGACAAGUUCUUCCUCUGAUUCUGCAACAGUAAUUUUUCCAAAUGUGUUUUCUCCAAAUAUCCUUUCUGAGUGUUUACAAAGAGGUUUACAAUGGCACACUGUGCUGAAGUUAUCCAAUUCCGGAGGAUCUGCAGUGUGCUUACAAGAGGGGUUUGCUAUACCAUCUUGGCCAGCUGCAGCUUCUGUUUACUGUUCCACAAACCCUUGGAGUACUGGAGUAGUUGCUAAGCUAUCAGCAAGAGCUGGAAAAGCUGGACAUAUUACUGUAACUCACAAUUUGAUAUGUGCUCCCUGUGGACAGCUCCUCACUAAAGAAAUUUUGGGCAAUUCAGUAAGGCACCAUCCCUUGGAAGCCCAGCAGUUGGUGUAUUGAUAUUUUAAGUUCCUGUCCUAGGACGUAGUAGCACUGUCCAUGGGGAAGUACCCACAAGCCAUGGAGCAUCUUGUGAUCGGGAAAUGAUGUCUGACUAGAAUGCCUAUAGAGGCACUACUGGUGCUCACAGUCAGCUCCUGUUGUUGACUCUUACUGAGGAUUUUUAUGAAGAAAUUUGGACAAAUUCCCACUUGGUGGUCAACAGUUUUUUUCACAACUUGACUUUUUAUUUUCCAGGAGCACACAGAUCAUUCAAAGGUUCUCUCUUCCAAGCUAAAGAAGACUUCUCAAGUUGGAUAUCUCAGUAAUGGGCUCCUGACUCCAUCUAUGCACUUUAGAAAUGUUGACAUUCAGAACUUAAGGUCACUCUGCUAUGUUGGGAAAAACGAUUUGAAUCAAGGAGAGAUAUUCAUUGCUGUGUACUGAAGAUAUGUUUCAAUACUGUCUAGUAUACUUAACCAAUUAUUGGGAUAACUCUUUAGCAAGGAGAGGAAGACAUUCACCUGAGAAGGAAAGUGAAGCCCUAUGCCAGUAUUAGAUUACUUGGCUUUACAAGGACAACAAGACUGUUAGGCAUACUUCAAUUUCUAGGCCAAUCUCAUGGUGGUGCAAAAUGUUGCUUCAUGUUUCCUCAAGUGUAGAAGGGAUCUGAAUCUGAAUCACCAACACUCAACCUAUACUCAUAUAAUUAGUGAUUGAACUAAAACAGAGAAGAUUUUUUUUUUUCCUGAUCAUUUUUUAAGUGUAGGC